rnacentral:lncRNA from 10 species
AUGUUGAAUGAGGCCAAGGAAUUUCCCAAAUUAUUAUGGGCAAAUACUGGUUCUGUCUUUGCCAGUCUGGGCUCUUAUAAACUCCAUGGCAGAAUGAGAGGGAAACAUGGCCAGACUGAUGAUCACACAACCAGGAAGCAGAAGAAAGUAUGCUUGGCAAAUCCGCAUUCUAACCAUGCCUUCUGCAUAAAGGCAGGGUCUGGGAUCUCUGCAGAAGCUGGUAUAUGUAUGUGUGUCACAUCACACGUGCACAAACACACACACACAAUCUCAGAAUAUACCUGCAUAAAUAGCAUUCCUGUAUUGGUCUUUUUGAGUUUAAGAGGUCACCAAACUAGAGUGGAUUGGAGAGAAAAUUACCUGAAGAUGACUUUGAAGCAAAAGAUAAUCCCUGUUUUGAGGUUGGAAGUUUUGGAAAGGACACAGCCAUUUUAAUCCAUUGCUGGCUGGAGAGCAUAAGGAACUGCUUCUGCAAUAAGUAAAGUCAAUGAAGAAAGCAAGAGGACUGCAAAGGUUUCCCUGCUGAUUCUGCCAACAGAAAUGUUUUUAUUGUGCUGCUUUGG